UUUAUUGGCUGGGUUGAUUUCGGGGUUGUACAUGUAUUUAGUUACGAGAAAUACAUUGUGUGACAUGACGACAUAUUUUGUGAGUACGUGGAAUUUUAAAAUCACAAGUUUUAUAUUUUAAGCCGCGGUAUAGAAUGAAACAAAGAAAAAGAAAGGGUCAAACCAAACUAUUUAAAACUGAAGUUAACAUCGAUGUUGAGAGAAUAAUUAUAGUGCAUUAGAAAAACGCAAACAAAAUGCCACGUGUAAUUGGAAAACUUCCUGAUGACCAAUAUUACAGGAUAGUGGAUAAUUCUACUGAUCUUAUAGAGGACAUUAAACAUGACCCUGUUGGUCUUGCUCGUUCAUUGUUUCAAAAGCGUGUCUUCGAUGAGGAUGAUCUAAAAACAAUAAAGAAAGAAGGCAGUAAAACCGAUGCUGCUGAUGAAUUGUUGCAUAUUGUUCUAAACUCUGGUGACGCAGCUUAUGAAAAAUUUAUUGAUGCACUGAAAGAAAAUGGCUAUUCCAAAACUGCUAGACGAUUAAUAUUAGACAAAGAAUUGAAAGAAGUCCAUGAACCAAAGGAUGGGAAUCCCGAGGAUAGAUUCGGACAGAGAGGGGUGGUUACAGAAAAGCUACAUAUCAAAGUGGAAAAAGGGAAACCACCCGAGGAUAUGUACAGCAAGAUCCGAGGCAAUUAUGAUUUCCUCGCGGACGAAAUUAAAAACGAUUAUAGGGAUGUAAUGUGUAGUUUGUUUACUUUUAAAGCCAUCAGUGAGGAUGAUGUGGAACAAAUAAAGAGAGAAGAGAUGACUCAAGGUAGUAAAAUAGCAGCCACCAGGGAAAUGUUAGAUAUUCUUUUAAACCGUGGUGAAACGGGUUAUACAAAAUUUCUUGACGCACUUUAUACAAACAAAUGUUUUAAUGCUGUGUUCAGAUUGGAACCAGGUUUUGGCGGAGAUGGAUCAGCCGAACCAGGUAUGGCUACAGAUAAAUUAUUGACAGGGUCGCUGGACAGCUUUCUUAGAUCAACCCCUCUUCGGUUUAUGGAUCACUUGAAAGAUCAUAUAGAUUUAUUUGGUAA